GACGAACGCUGGCGGCGUGCCUAAUACAUGCAAGUUGAGCGCUGAAGGUUGGUACUUGUACCAACUGGAUGAGCAGCGAACGGGUGAGUAACGCGUGGGGAAUCUGCCUUUGAGCGGGGGACAACAUUUGGAAACGAAUGCUAAUACCGCAUAAAAACUUUAAACACAAGUUUUAAGUUUGAAAGAUGCAAUUGCAUCACUCAAAGAUGAUCCCGCGUUGUAUUAGCUAGUUGGUGAGGUAAAGGCUCACCAAGGCGAUGAUACAUAGCCGACCUGAGAGGGUGAUCGGCCACAUUGGGACUGAGACACGGCCCAAACUCCUACGGGAGGCAGCAGCAGGGAAUCUUCGGCAAUAGACGAAAGUCUGACCGAGCAACGCCGCGUGAGUGAAGAAGGUUUUCGGAUCGUAAAACUCUGUUGGUAGAGAAGAACGUUGGUGAGAGUGGAAAGCUCAUCAAGUGACGGUAACUACCCAGAAAGGGACGGCUAACUACGUG
rnacentral:rRNA from 1 species